UAGGCGUGUUACCCAUGAUAUAUCUGGUGAGUAACUAUUUGCUGUGUAAGAGAGGUCAAGAACUCGCAGGUUGGAAAGAUUACCGAGGUGAGGAGGCACCAGACCAUGGAAAGGGAUCCCAGAGAGAUUAAGAUAUCUCAAGCUUUUCAGAGAGCCCAGAAACUCCGGCAUAUCGCCGGUUGGCCCUUCAAGUGAGUUGUGGCUGAGAUCGAGGUGCUGAAGAUGGUGAAGAGAAAGCAGAGAGUGGCUUAUCUCGCCGAACAAUCUCAUUGCAAACGGGUUGAUGCUUUCCCUGCUGCCAAGGUUAAGCUUGACGAUAUGCCCCGUGCGGUCGCUGCAACGGACGCCUGUCCACCGGCAGCAGUCUUGGCCAUCUUCCGGCCGCCAUGACGCGAGGAGGCCUGUCGUGUCGUCGGCGAUGCCUUCCUUGAACUCCAACAGCGCGUCCAUCUCGCCUGGGAAGCAGCCGCCGGAGC
rnacentral:sRNA from 1 species